GCCUAGAUAGCUCAGUUGGGAGAGCGUUAGACUGAAGAUCUAAGGUCCCCGGUUCGAUCCCGGGUCUGGGCA
rnacentral:tRNA from 1 species